rnacentral:rRNA from 1 species
GAUGAACGCUGGCGGCGUGCUUAACACAUGCAAGUCGAACGGAGUGCCGAACGGGUGAGUAACACGUGGGUGACCUGCCCUGCACUUCGGGAUACGCCUGGGAAACUGGGUCUAAUACCGGAUAGUGUGAGAUGGGCCCGCGUCCUAUCAGCUUGUGGGUGGGGUAUUGGCCUCCCAAGGAGGCGACGGGUAGACGGCCUGAGAGGGGGGACGGCGACAUUGGGACUAAGACACGGCGCAGACUCGUAAGGGAGGCAGCAGUGGGGAAUAUUGCACAAUGGGCGGAAGCCUGAUGCAGCGACCCCGCGUGGGGGAUGACGGCCUUCGGGUUGUAAACGCCUUUAACCAUCGACGCGGUAGAUGGAGAAGAAGCACCGGCUAACUCCGUGCCAGCAGCCGCGGUAAUAC